rnacentral:rRNA from 2 species
CGGGCGGCUGCCCUAUACGUGCAAGUCGUACGAACUCUGGUAUUGAUUGGUGCUUGCAUCAUGAUUUACAUUUGAGUGAGUGGCGAACUGGUGAGUAACACGUGGGAAACCUGCCCAGAAGCGGGGGAUAACACGUGGAAACAGAUGCUAAUACCGCGUAACAACUUGGACCGCAUGGUCCGAGCUUGAAAGAUGGCUUCGGCUAUCACUUUUGGAUGGUCCCGCGGCGUAUUAGCUAUAUGGUGGGGUAACGGCUCACCAUGGCAAUGAUACGUAUCCGACCUGAGAGGGUAAUCGGCCACUUUGGGACUGAGACACGGCCCAAACUACUACGGGAGGCAGCAGUAGGGAAUCUUCCACAAUGGACGAAAGUCUGAUGGAGCAACGCCGCGUGAGUGAAGAAGGGUUUCGGCUCGUAAAACUCUGUUGUUAAAGAAGAACAUAUCUGAGAGUAACUGUUCAGGUAUUGACGGUAUUUAACCAGAAAGCCACGGCUAACUACGUGCCAGCAGCCGCGGUAAUACGUAGGUGGCAAGCGUUGUCCGGAUUUAUUGGGCGUAAAGCGAGCGCAGGCGGUUUUUUAAGUCUGAUGUGAAAGCCUUCGGCUCAACCGAAGAAGUGCAUCGGAAACUGGGAAACUUGAGUGCAGAAGAGGACAGUGGAACUCCAUGUGUAGCGGUGAAAUGCGUAGAUAUAUGGAAGAACACCAGUGGCGAAGGCGGCUGUCUGGUCUGUAACUGACGCUGAGGCUCGAAAGUAUGGGUAGCAAACAGGAUUAGAUACCCUGGUAGUCCAUACCGUAAACGAUGAAUGCUAAGUGUUGGAGGGUUUCCGCCCUUCAGUGCUGCAGCUAACGCAUUAAGCAUUCCGCCUGGGGAGUACGGCCGCAAGGCUGAAACUCAAAGGAAUUGACGGGGGCCCGCACAAGCGGUGGAGCAUGUGGUUUAAUUCGAAGCUACGCGAAGAACCUUACCAGGUCUUGACAUACUAUGCAAAUCUAAGAGAUUAGACGUUCCCUUCGGGGACAUGGAUACAGGUGGUGCAUGGUUGUCGUCAGCUCGUGUCGUGAGAUGUUGGGUUAAGUCCCGCAACGAGCGCAACCCUUAUUAUCAGUUGCCAGCAUUAAGUUGGGCACUCUGGUGAGACUGCCGGUGACAAACCGGAGGAAGGUGGGGAUGACGUCAAAUCAUCAUGCCCCUUAUGACCUGGGCUACACACGUGCUACAAUGGAUGGUACAACGAGUUGCGAACUCGCGAGAGUAAGCUAAUCUCUUAAAGCCAUUCUCAGUUCGGAUUGUAGGCUGCAACUCGCCUACAUGAAGUCGGAAUCGCUAGUAAUCGCGGAUCAGCAUGCCGCGGUGAAUACGUUCCCGGGCCUUGUACACACCGCCCGUCACACCAUGAGAGUUUGUAACACCCAAAGUCGGUGGGGUAACCUUUUAGGAACCAGCCGCCUAAGGUGGGACAGAUGAUUAGGGUGAAGUCGUAACAAGUGCCCG